CCUGGUAGUCCACGCCCUAAACGAUGCGAACUGGACGUUGGGAGCAACUUGGCUCUCAGUGUCGAAGCUAACGCGUUAAGUUCGCCGCCUGGGGAGUACGGUCGCAAGACUGAAACUCAAAGGAAUUGACGGGGGCCCGCACAAGCGGUGGAGUAUGUGGUUUAAUUCGAUGCAACGCGAAGAACCUUACCUGGGUUUGACAUCGCCGGAAAACUCGUAGAGAUACGGGGUCCUUCGGGGCCGGUGACAGGUGGUGCAUGGCUGUCGUCAGCUCGUGUCGUGAAAUGUUGGGUUAAGUCCCGCAACGAGCGCAACCCUCGUUCGAUGUUGCCAGCGCGUUAUGGCGGGGACUCAUCGAAGACUGCCGGGGUCAACUCGGAGGAAGGUGGGGAUGACGUCAAGUCAUCAUGCCCCUUAUGUCCAGGGCUUCACGCAUGCUACAAUGGCCGGUACAAAGGGUUGCGAUGCCGUGAGGUGGAGCGAAUCCCAAAAAGCCGGUCUCAGUUCGGAUCGGGGUCUGCAACUCGACCCCGUGAAGUCGGAGUCGCUAGUAAUCGCAGAUCAGCAACGCUGCGGUGAAUACGUUCCCGGGCCUUGUACACACCGCCCGUCACACCAUGGGAGUUGAUUUCACCCGAAGCGGGGAAGCUAAACUGGCUA
rnacentral:rRNA from 1 species